UACGGAGGGUGCAAGCGUUGUCCGGAUUUAUUGGGUUUAAAGGGUGCGUAGGUGGCUUAUUAAGUCAGUGUUUAAAGUCUGCAGCUUAACUGUAGGUAUGGCAUUGAUACUGGUAGGCUUGAGUAAAGUUGAGGUAGGCGGAAUUGAAGGUGUAGCGGUGAAAUGCAUAGAUAUCUUCAAGAACACCGAUUGCGAAGGCAGCUUACUAAGCUUUAACUGACACUGAGGCACGAAAGCGUGGGGAUCAAACAGG
rnacentral:rRNA from 1 species